UAAUUAAAAACUGUACGUUUUGAUGGCAGAUUUCUGGAUGACAGCAUUGCAAAAAGUAAAUGAUCCAAAUGUGCACACUUUCCAGCAGAAUUCCAGAUUUGGAACUUGAUCCAAAGGAAAUAAAUAGAGAAGAUUUCAAGGCCAUCUCAUCAGAAGCACAAUUAUUACUAAAGUCUCCUAAUGAGCAUCUGGGAGCAACUUGAUACAUGCUUUCUGCUUGUUCAAGCAAGAGGG
rnacentral:lncRNA from 10 species